UACGUAAAAGACUAGUGUUAUUCAUCUUUAACAGGUUUAAAGGGUCCGUAGACGGUAAAAUUCCAUCUUAAAUAGGAUAUGUUUUUACUAGAGUUUAUAUGAGGAGGCGAGUAUUCACGGAGUAGAGUUGAAAUUCUUUGAUCCCAUGACGACUGGUAAGGGCGAAAGCAACCUUUUAUCUAAUAACUGACGUUGAGGGACGAAGGCUUGGGUCGCGAACAGG
rnacentral:rRNA from 1 species